rnacentral:rRNA from 1 species
UACAGAGGUCCCAAGCGUUGCUCGGAUUUACUGGGCGUAAAGGGUGCGUAGGCGGUUGUUUUAAGUCUGACGUGAAAUCUCCGGGCCUAACCCGGAACGGUCAAGUGAUACUGUCGCGCUAGAGUGCGGAAGGGGCAAUCAGAAUUCUUGGUGUAAGCGGUGAAAUGCGUAGAUAUCAAGAGGAAUACCUGAGGUGAAGACGGGUUGCUAGGCCGACACUGACGCUGAAGCGCGAAAGCCAGGGGAGCAAACGGG